rnacentral:rRNA from 1 species
CUGCGAUGGAGGGACGGAGAAGGCUAGGCCAGCUUGGCGUUGGUUGUCCAAGUUUAAGGUGGUAGGCUGAAAUCUUAGGUAAAUCCGGGGUUUCAAGGCCGAGAGCUGAUGACGAGUCGUCUUUUAGAUGACGAAGUGGUUGAUGCCAUGCUUCCAAGAAAAGCUUCUAAGCUUCAGGUAACCAUGAACCGUACCCCAAACCGACACAGGUGGUCGGGUAGAGAAUACCAAGGCGCUUGAGAGAACUCGGGUGAAGGAACUAGGCAAAAUGGCACCGUAACUUCGGGAGAAGGUGCGCCGGCUAGGGUGAAGGAUUUACUCCGUAAGCUCUGGCUGGUCGAAGAUACCAGGCCGCUGCGACUGUUUAUUAAAAACACAGCACUCUGCAAACACGAAAGUGGACGUAUAGGGUGUGACGCCUGCCCGGUGCCGGAAGGUUAAUUGAUGGGGUUAGCGCAAGCGAAGCUCUUGAUCGAAGCCCCGGUAAACGGCGGCCGUAACAAUAACGGUCCUAAGGUAGCGAAAUUCCUUGUCGGGUAAGUUCCGACCUGCACGAUUGGCGUAACGAUGGCGGCGCUGUCUCCACCCGAGACUCAGUGAAAUUGAAAUCGCUGUGAAGAUGCAGUGUAUCCGCGGCUAGACGGAGAGACCCCGUGAACCUUUACUGUAGCUUUGCACUGGACUUUGAGCCUGCUUGUGUAGGAUAGGUGGGAGGCUUUGAAGCGUGGACGCCAGUUCGCGUGGAGCCAUCCUUGAAAUACCACCCUGGCAUGCUUGAGGUUCUAACUCUGGUCCGUAAUCCGGAUCGAGGACAGUGUAUGGUGGGCAGUUUGACUGGGGCGGUCUCCUCCUAAAGAGUAACGGAGGAGUACGAAGGUGCGCUCAGACCGGUCGGAAAUCGGUCGCAGAGUAUAAAGGCAAAAGCGCGCUUGACUGCGAGACAGACACGUCGAGCAGGUACGAAAGUAGGUCUUAGUGAUCCGGUGGUUCUGUAUGGAAGGGCCAUCGCUCAACGGAUAAAAGGUACUCCGGGGAUAACAGGCUGAUACCGCCCAAGAGUUCAUAUCGACGGCGGUGUUUGGCACCUCGAUGUCGGCUCAUCACAUCCUGGGGCUGAAGCCGGUCCCAAGGGUAUGGCUGUUCGCCAUUUAAAGUGGUACGCGAGCUGGGUUUAGAACGUCGUGAGACAGUUCGGUCCCUAUCUGCCGUGGACGUUUGAGAUUUGAGAGGGGCUGCUCCUAGUACGAGAGGACCGGAGUGGACGAACCUCUGGUGUUCCGGUUGUCACGCCAGUGGCAUUGCCGGGUAGCUAUGUUCGGAAAAGAUAACCGCUGAAAGCAUCUAAGCGGGAAACUUGCCUCAAGAUGAGAUCUCACUGGGAACUUGAUUCCCCUGAAGGGCCGUCGAAGACUACGACGUUGAUAGGCUGGGUGUGUAAGCGUUGUGAGGCGUUGAGCUAACCAGUACUAAUUGCCCGUGAGGCUUGACCG